AAGGCAGCAAGGAAAAAACCAACAUAUUCGCGCAAAAGAAUCGUGAAAAACUGGUCUGAAAGAAUGGGAGAGUUGUGCGGUCGUAGUACUGAAUCAUUCUUUCAAUAGUUAUUCGUCGUGUUGCAUGAAAACUGCAGAUAGUGAAGGAAUUACCGUUCUCCAUAGUUUACUACCUACAAACUCUACUCGUCCUCCCCCGAGGAAUCGAAGCCGUCUAGGGGUGUUGGAGUACGUGCAGACGGAAUUUGUGUGUUUGCGCAGAAAAUCUUAACCCGGUCGGCACAGUUCGGUUUUUGCGUAGCACUAUAUCGCCGGUGCAGGGUGGAUGCGACUUCAGGGGUGUUCCGGAGCAAUCCAGAUUGUGGCAAUAGCUGGGGACCCCCCUUUCCUGCCAGUUUAUCCACCGUGCGUGAGACGGUGCUGGUGCAUGAGAAUAGCAUAAAUAAGUUGCACUGCAAGCAAAACAAACCAUCGACUAGCGGAAUCGGAGGAAAACUCUCUGGCGGUACCAGCGCCGUGGGGGCGUGGAGGGGAUCCAGCAAGUGGAAAUCAGCUGGUGCUGGCAACGCAAGCUCCCCGGACGGAAGUAGAUAAAAAAUGUCGGUGAAGAUAUAUUUUGAAAUUGGACACGUGGCUGCCGUCAAGAGUCGUCCGACGGCGGAGGGAUACACGCACGAUUGGGAGCUGUUCGUGCGUGGACUGGACGACAAUGAUAUCAGCCACUACAUCGACAAGGUGGUUUUCAACCUGCACGAAUCGUUCCCGAAACCGAAGCGAGUCUUCAAAGAGCCACCAUACCUGGUAAAAGAAGCCGGUUAUGCCGGAUUUAUUCUUCCCGUGGAGAUCUACUUCAAGAAUCGUGAUGAUCCAAAAAAGGCGGUGUAUAAUUACGAUCUGGACCUGACACCGGUCAAGAAUCAGCGUGAGGAGUAUGUCUUCCACAGUCCCUCCGAUGAGUUUCGCCGGAAGCUACUGAAAGGUGGCGGCUUCGUGCUGUCGGGCAGUGGAGGCCAGGGCAACACCAGUGGCACCAAUGACUAUAAAACCAAUCGAGGAGGGCACGGUGGCGGUGGUGGGGGUGGUGGAACCGAACGAUCAUCUUCCAGCAGUUCGUCGCAGGAUAAAAAGUCUAAAUCGAAAUCGUCCACCGUCGACGACACGAAAGGUCAGUUUGCGGAGUUGUUCGGGUCACCUUUUUCACACAAAACUGGCGGCAGUGGAGGCGGCAGUAAGGUGUCACCAGAUCCGAAGCUUCAGUCGUCCAGUUCCGGCUCGCGAAAAACUUCACCACCUGGCGGUGGUCCAGGCGGUGGUGGCAGUAGCAAAGGAGGCCAGUCAAGUCAAAAGAUUUCCGGCGACUCACGAUCGAUACCCAACUCUUCUUCCUCGUCCAUGUCGAAAGAGUCGUCGAAGGACAAAGCUACAUCGUCCUCCACCUCCUCGUCCUCUUCGAAGCACAAACACUCGAGCCCGAACAAGGAAAGCAAAAAGUCCUCAAACUCAAUCCCGUCGUCUGGUGGUGGAGGUGGCGGCGGUAUCGGAGAGGAGAAACAUAAUAAAGAAAAGAAGGAUAAAAGCCACUCGAAAGAGCGCGACAAAAGUGGCAAGGAAAAAUCAACGAACAGUAGUAGCGGCAAUUCGAGUGCGGCCGGCAUAAACACAACGCAAUCUCUAUCGCAUUCCGGCGGUUCCGGCAGCUCAAACUCCGUCUCGAUGAAGCGACCCGGCGGUAGUGUCGCGACCAACAAUAGCAAUACUAGCAGUAACAUUAGCAAUAGUAGUACUAAUAGUAAUAACCCGACAGUUCCUACUAGUGGUAGCAGCAGCAGCAGCAGCCAUCCGACCGGAUCAUCCACCGGUGUACAGUCCGGGGGACUGAAAACUUCCGACGCUGGAGGACAGAAGCGUGGCAGCAGUGAGAAGGAAAAGAAGAGCAGUAAAAAAGAGAAGAAAAGCUACGAAAAGGAAAAAGACCGAACGGUAGACGCUAGCUCUUCCGGUCAACGAAAGGUCGAUCGUUCUGGGGAUGUAAAGGGCAACGCACCCCAAUCCAGUUCGGCAUCUGGCCAGCAGCAGCAGAUGGGCUUCUCGAAGGGGGGUGACGUACCACCCGGUGGUAGCACAAAGUCAUCAUCCGCCUCUUCAGCUGGCAAUAAAAGCCAUCCAUCGAGCGAGGGGGGACAGCAGACGCAGAAAGACAUUGGUGGAAAAUCGUCCGCAAGCUCAAAUUCAAACGCAUCGGGCAGUAGUGGUUACUUAAAGGAGAAAAAGAUACACGGUUCCGUAGAAUCGAUGCGGCAAGACCCAACUUUAAACACGUCCUCAGGUGCCACUGGACCUCCACUUUCGUCGCAGAAGACAGGGGAAAAGAGUGAUAAGCUCGAUCGCGACAAGGACGAAGCGCGCAAGCACAAGCACAAAAAGAAGGACAAGUCGAAGGAUAAGGAAAAAGAUCGGACAUCGGCGGGAAAGGAGAAAAAGGAGCGCAAGGAGAAGGAUAAAGCGGUGGCCAGUGGCAGUGGCAGUGGCAGUGGAAGCAAGGGAAGUAGCUUUUCGACACCUACCCGUGAAGCGAACGAUGCUCUUCCAUCGAAAGCAUCGAAACAGCACGCUAGCGGAAAUGAACCUGCAGUGAAAACAACUGGUCACGAUCGGGACAAAAGUCAACAUGGAUUCAAUACAGGUGGUGUUGGUGGUGGUGGUAGUGUUGCUCGACACCAGCAACAACCCUCGGCGAAAUCAACGACUCCUAUGGCAGCUCUAAUCGGAGAGAUAAGCGGGGAGGAUAAUUCAAACGAUUCCGACGAACGCACCGGGGACGGAGACAGUCGUGCACCUUCGACAAUUGCGAACGAAAAGGACUCGGAAGCUUCCAACAGUAGCAUAGCGGACAUGCUAGGCACGAAUAGUAUGGCACCGGGUCAGCAAAGGCCACCGUCAACAACUUCAUCCAGUACGACGGCUUCAUCGGUACGGGAUUCAACGGAAAAGUACCACCAUCAUAAGAGCAAAAAGGAAAAAGCCUUAUCACGAGCAGCAGCCUCUUCCGCCCCCGCUCAACCAUUAUCGCCGGUCGUGUCGGACACAAAAGACGCGCCCCCAGCAGCAUCAUCCUCCCGCUCGUCAGGAAAGCGAAAGCGAAAGAACAAAGACACAGAGGGACCUGAAAAAAUUGCACCGAGAGAUUCCACGGUACCGGAAAUGGCUACGAGGGAAGGGCGAAGUCUGUCACCUCCUUCGCCACCUGCCGGAACUGCGUCUGGAUCGAGCCUGAUGGAACCACCGGCCAAGGUACCGAAAAAGGACGAUUCCUACGGCGGUGCCCCCGGGCCUGGGAAACUACCGGAUACGUCCGACCACACGAACAACAACAAUGCCAUUAAUAAUAACAACAUCAGGCACUCGGUUGGUAGUGGUGGCAGUACGGCAGGAGGAGAUGACAGCAGCAGUGGAAAUAGUACAUACUUUGGGCUCAACAGUAUCCCUCCAUCGAUCGCUGGUUCUGGUGGAGGAAGCUCAUCGCUUUCCGCUGGUGUUAGUAGCUCAUUGCUCAACUCUAGUAUUAGUAACGCCGCGCUCUCCUCCGGUGUUGGUGGCACGGGUACGGGAAGUUCAGCCGCCAACUCUCUCACCGGAGACUACAUGUCCGAGCUGAAGGAUCUGCAGCACAAGAUUAUGACGCUCCAGGACAACAGCGAGCUGCAGCGGGUGGUAGAGAUGAUAGCGGCCACUGGGUGCUACGAGAUAACGAGCGCCACCUUCGACUUUGACCUGUGUGCCCUGGACCGGCUGACGGUGCAACGGCUGCAGGAUUUUUUUGCCACCUCCUGACAUUAAAGCUACCAAGGUACGAACCGUGAGUCGCCAAUGGGACGGCGCCACUAGGCAAUGCGAACCCGAUCUGCAUUUGGUAUAGUUAGAUCUGGCAUCCCGCUCUUCGCUUCCAGUGCCCUCUUUUGAAAACACCACGGACGUAGGUUAGUAAAUUUGCGAAUACGUUAGAGCCUGCCUUCGUGAAACGCACCUUUGUCGGUACGCUGUCGUGUUAGCACAUGUUUUCAUGGGAGUAUCUAGAAUGGCGCAAGGGGCUCCGUGAACGAUGAAUACAUCAAUCGACAUGCGAAGACAAACUAAUACUUAGUACCGGCCAGCUUAAAAAACGUGGUAAGCUAUCAACGCUUUUGCAGUGCGUUUUCGUACAAACCAAAUGGACGCGAGAAGUACAAAACGAACGGUUGUAUUUACAAACAUACAAAGGCGAGGACAUCCGUGAGCGGACAUACAUGCGACCGUAGAGUCAAGGGUUGACCGGGCGAGAUUAGCGGCUACUGUGGGGCAUUAUAAUAGACAAGAUUAUGUCCCAACACUUUCAGUAAUUUCAGGGCAUUUCACAUACAGGCGCCUCGGUAAAACCGUGUUGUACCCUGCAUUCCUAUAUGGAAGCAUAUUCUCUGCACCGCGUGGUCUAUAGAUAAAAAAUGUACCUUAUCGACUCGCAACUGUUGAGUCGAUCAUAAAAGAAUAAGAGAAGUGUUUUUUGGUUUUGGCAAAAAAAUCGAAGUAGGCGACUGGUUGCUUACGCUUAACGACUAUCAAAUUACGAUACGUAUCCUUAACGAACAAAAUCAACUGUCCUUCACUCUCAAAUACGUACGACGCAAAUGGUUACAAGUAACGUAGGAUAAUUAUAUUCAAUCACAAGUGCAUCUCAUCCUUUGGUGCACCUGGGCGUGUUGUGUUAGUGUUGGUGUACAUGGUGUGAACAGAUAGGACGAACUAAGCGGAUUGACUGACGGGCAGAGUUAACGGCAGGAAAUAACCUCAUUGAAAUCGAGCGACCUCGGAAAUGUAGUACCGCUGAAAGACACAAUAUUGUAGGGUUUGUUCCAGGAUAAGACCCAUGGUCCCGUAAAAGCUAACACUAUGUUAGCUUAAAUUGUAUUCUAUCUUAUACUAUCCUUUUGCGGAGGCACUUUCUCACUUUUCCUACUUUAUUCUUUUUUAAAAUAAGUUUAGUGGAGAGGCACGGAACGGGAGUGUUUGUUGUUUGUGUUUGACGUCUAGUGGCCAUUUCGGGGAACAGGAAAGAUGUUUUUAAAAUUAGCUUACUUUGGCUGCCUUACUAUGACCGUUUAGAAAUCUCCCCAUCGUAAUGUUAUACAGGAUGAAAACCCAUCUUUUUUUAAAUACUCUCACUAAAGACAGACGAGAGCAAGAAGGAAAACAAAACAGUAGAUUAGUACAAUAAUUGAGUUUCAUACGUUGAGUUUUAUACGUUUAGAAAUGUUGUAUUCACCAACGUGUAAUUUAACAAAUAGUUUUCAUGUUAAACUAUUGUCUCAUUUUAAGUUACCAAGAGUAUGUAAUAGCAGAACAGCUUUGGUAGGGUCACGCAAAAGUUGGUAAGGCGCACGUAUUUGUGUAUGUAGGCAUUAUUGGAAUCGGAAGCGGAGGAAUUCUAACUGCUCCAAGGCGUUGUGGAAAGAACAGGCAGAGUAGCUUAGUAGCGAGCGUGGUAAUAGUUAAAAGAAGAAUGAAACGUGGCGAACUGAACGAACUGAAAUCAUCACAAAAUGAUAAAUAAGUGUAAAUACGUAUAUAAAUAAUAUACAUUAACAUGAGCAUUGUAUAUCGGUUUAAACGUUCUAAAUCUUAACGCUAAGGAACAUAGUAAAACUAAUAAUGUAACCAUGAAAGGAGAUCAUCGACACGAAAGAAACUUUUGGCACCGGUAUUUUUUAAAACCGUGCACGCUACGCAAGUCGUUUUCGUAGGUUAUGCAUGUUUUUGUUUUAAUUUUUGCGUGUGUUUUCUAUUUGUUCUAUAACCAAAAGGUUUUUUGUUUUUCCCCCAAUAUUGUGUUAAAAAAAUCCCUGUAUAGAUCUUUAGAUUCGACAUAUUAUACUCCGGCGAUUGCCCGACAACUGAGAGCUUCGUAGAAAAACGACACUUCUGAUUAAUGACCAAAACGAAGCAUAAAACUCGUUUGACAUGAAAUUAAACGCAAAGGUUUAAAAUUUAAACAUUUUCCCUUCAGGCUUGGGAGGUUAAUGGGCAAGGUAACAGUUGAACGCACAACUGUUCGUAGCUAUCAUUAGGCCAGAAAUAAGUAUUGAAGAGAUGUACCGAAGAUGAAAAAAUAAAACCCAUACCAAUGCUCUCUGGUGCUAAACUGUG